rnacentral:rRNA from 1 species
CCUACGGGAGGCAGCAGUAGGGAAUAUUGCUCAAUGGGGGAAACCCUGAAGCAGCAACGCCGCGUGGAGGAUGAAGGUUCUCGGAUUGUAAACUCCUUUUGUUAGAGAAGAUAAUGACGGUAUCUAACGAAUAAGCACCGGCUAACUCCGUGCCAGCAGCCGCGGUAAUACGGAGGGUGCAAGCGUUACUCGGAAUCACUGGGCGUAAAGAGCGCGUAGGCGGGAUAGCAAGUCAGAUGUGAAAUCCUAGGGCUCAACCAUAGAACUGCAUCUGAAACUGUUAUUCUAGAGUAUGGGAGAGGUAGGUGGAAUUCUUGGUGUAGCGGUAAAAUCCGUAGAGAUCAAGCGGAAUACUCAUUGCGAAGGCGACCUGCUAGAACAUAACUGACGCUGAUGCGCGAAAGCGUGGGGAGCAAACAGGAUUAGAUACCCCAGUAGUC